rnacentral:rRNA from 1 species
CAAUAGCGUAUAUUAAAGUUGUUGCAGUUAAAAAGCUCGUAGUUGGAUUUCGGAGCGGGCCAGUUGGUCCGCCGCAAGGUGUGUUACUGACUGGUCUGUUCUUCUUCGCAAAGACUGCGUGUGCUCUUCGCUGAGUGUGCGUAGGAUUUACGACGUUUACUUUGAAAAAAUUAGAGUGUUCAAAGCAGGCUGUCGCUUGAAUACAUGAGCAUGGAAUAAUAGAAUAUGACUUUAUUCACUAUGUUGGUUUUUGGAUAGAGUAAUGGUUAACAGGAACAGUUGGGGGCAUUUGUAUUUAAUAGUCAGAGGUGGAAUUCUUAGAUUUAUUAAAGACAAACUAAUGCGAAGGCAUUUGCCAAGGAUGUUUUCAUUAA